CCUUAACUAGGGUAGUGCGGAUGGUGUUCAGACCACAUUUGCCCUGUGGGCACACCAUCCGCAGGCACCCGCCGAUGCGUGCGGUACCACGGUUACGCCACUCUACUGUCCUCCCUCCCACCUCCUCCCCCCAGCCCGUCAUCUCAAUCUGCAAUCUUCCACCAAACCACGCCCCCUUGUGACAAUCGUGGAAGUUCUUCCCCGCCACACAGAAACAGGACACCGUGACAGGCAGCUGAUCAUCCUGGUGUCCACACCGCACAGCUUCUGCCUUUGAACGCCUGAUCACCUUCUUAGCCUCCUCAGUCUGGCAAGUAAUGAGCCAGUGUUACAUAUGGCAGGAAUAAUGAGUACAGACAGUCAUGGCCUGAGUGAAUGCUUAGAAAGGUGUUUAUCAUCAGAUCACAGCACAACUCCUGAACUCCAACGCUCUAAAUCACUCACAGGAAGAAACUAAUAGAAAGCCAAUUGUUAGGACAGAAAUCCCCAAUACGUGACCUGUUGUGGGUACUUGAGGGUUUUAGAUGAGAACCAUUGUACUAAAGAACUGAAUGAGAAUUAGUCUUCUGUAAAACAGAAAUUGUAUAAGAAAUAAGAAUAGAUCUUCAACUAUCUGACCACAACCAGUAAAUGAAGUGACUUGUGGUUAAUCAAAGAUACAGUGUGUUUCAGAAAAGGAAUAUCGACAAGCAAAAUGGUUUGUAUGCAGGACAGCCCUAUAAUUAUGGAAUACUAUAAAAGGUGAAUUGAACAGGAUAAAGCACACAGCUCAGAAACUCUCCUUGCACAGGUAAUAGCCGAAAAGAAAACUGUGUACCACUUAAGAAAUUUAAGUUUAACAUUGAAAGACUAAAUGAUGUUCGCUUCAGAGCUGUUAAGAACAAAUUAAAAUCUGAAGGUACUUUACGAGACGUAUAGCACACCAGCCUGAAACUAACAAUUAUACAUUCAGAAGUGAGGCAAUUUGGUGUGCAGUGCGUGAGGAGCCUAAUAUAAGGGUCCCACAGCGUGCUCUCCCUCUUAACUACACCCCUGUACCAGUGUCUGGCAGUCCUGCAGCAACGCUAAGAGUGCAGAAAAUGGCCCCAGGAAGCCGCUGGUCCCGCUCUGAGGAAGCUCCGCCCCCUGUAAUGGCGCUGGAGCUAUACAUAUACUUAUACUAAAUAAAAUAAACAA